UCACUGCAUUACUCUGAGAUAAUGACAUCACUGCAUUACUCUGAGAUAAUGAUGACAUCACUGCAUUACUCUGAGAUAAUGAUGACAUCACUGCAUUACUCUGAGUUAAUGACAUCACUGCAUUACUCUGAGAUAAUGACAUCACUGCAUUACUCUGAGAUAAUGAUAUCACUGCAUUACUCUGAGAUGAUGACAUCAUUUCUUUACUCUGAGAUAAUGACAUCACUGCAUUACUCUGAGAUAAUGAUGACAUCACUGCAUUACUCUGAGAUGAUGACAUCAUUUCUUUACUCUGAGAUAAUGACAUCACUGCAUUACUCUGAGAUAAUGAUGACAUCACUGCAUUACUCUGAGAUAAUGACAUCACUGCAUUACUCUGAGAUGAUGACAUCACUUCUUUACUCUGAGAUAAUGACAUCACUGCAUUACUCUGAGAUAAUGAUGACAUCACUGCAUUACUCUGAGAUAAUGAUGACAUCACUGCAUUACUCUGAGAUAAUGAUGACAUCACUGCAUUACUCUGAGAUAAUGAUGACAUCACUUCUUUACUCUGAGAUAAUGACAACAUCACUGCAUUACUCUGAGAUGACAUCACCGCAUUACUCUGAGAUAAUGAUGACAUCACUGCAUUACUCUGAGAUGAUGACAUCACUUCUUUACUCUGAGAUAAUGACAUCACUGCAUUACUCUGAGAUAAUGACAUCACUUCUUUUCUCUGAGAUAAUGACAACAUCACUGCAUUACUCUGAGAUGACAUCACCGCAUUACUCUGAGAUGACAUCACUGCAUUACUCUGAGAUAAUGAUGACAUCACUGCAUUACUCUGAGAUGACAUCACCGCAUUACUCUGAGAUGACAUCACUGCAUUACUCUGAGAUAAUGAUGACAUCACUGCAUUACUCUGAGAUGACAGAGUCACUUCUUUACGCUGAGAUAAUGACAUCACUGCAUUACUCUGAGAUAAUGACAUCACUUCUUUACUCUGAGAUAAUGACAACAUCACUGCAUUACUCUGAGAUGACAUCACCGCAUUACUCUGAGAUGACAUCACUGCAUUACUCUGAGAUAAUGAUGACAUCACUGCAUUACUCUGAGAUAAUGAUGACAUCACUGCAUUACUCUGAGAUAAUGACAUCACUGCAUUACUCUGAGAUAAUGACAUCACUUCUUUACUCUGAGAUAAUGACAACAUCACUGCAUUACUCUGAGAUAAUGACAUCACUGCAUUACUCUGAGAUAAUGACAUCACUGCAUUACUCUGAGAUAAUGAUGACAUCACUGCAUUACUCUGAGAUAAUGACAUCACUUCUUUACUCUGAGAUAAUGACAACAUCACUGCAUUACUCUGAGAUAAUGACAACAUCACUGCAUUACUCUGAGAUAAUGAUAUCACUGCAUUACUCUGAGAUAAUGAUAUCACUGCAUUACUCUGAGAUAAUGAUAUCACUGCAUUACUCUGAGAUAAUGACAACAUCACUUCUUUACUCUGAGAUAAUGACAACAUCACUGCAUUACUCUGAGAUGACAUCACCGCAUUACUCUGAGAUAAUGAUGACAUCACUGCAUUACUCUGAGAUGAUGACAUCACUUCUUUACUCUGAGAUAAUGACAUCACUGCAUUACUCUGAGAUAAUGACAUCACUUCUUUUCUCUGAGAUAAUGACAACAUCACUGCAUUACUCUGAGAUGACAUCACCGCAUUACUCUGAGAUGACAUCACUGCAUUACUCUGAGAUAAUGAUGACAUCACUGCAUUACUCUGAGAUGACAGAGUCACUUCUUUACGCUGAGAUAAUGACAUCACUGCAUUACUCUGAGAUAAUGACAUCACUUCUUUACUCUGAGAUAAUGACAACAUCACUGCAUUACUCUGAGAUGACAUCACCGCAUUACUCUGAGAUGACAUCACUGCAUUACUCUGAGAUAAUGAUGACAUCACUGCAUUACUCUGAGAUAAUGAUGACAUCACUGCAUUACUCUGAGAUAAUGACAUCACUGCAUUACUCUGAGAUAAUGACAUCACUUCUUUACUCUGAGAUAAUGACAACAUCACUGCAUUACUCUGAGAUAAUGACAUCACUGCAUUACUCUGAGAUAAUGAUAUCACUGCAUUACUCUGAGAUAAUGAUGACAUCACUGCAUUACUCUGAGAUAAUGAUAUCACUGCAUUACUCUGAGAUAAUGACAUCACUGCAUUACUCUGAGAUAAUGACAUCACUGCAUUACUCUGAGAUAAUGACAACAUCACUGCAUUACUCUGAGAUAAUGAUAUCACUGCAUUACUCUGAGAUAAUGAUGACAUCACUGCAUUACUCUGAGAUAAUGAUAUCACUGCAUUACUCUGAGAUAAUGACAUCACUGCAUUACUCUGAGAUGAUGACAUCACUUCUUUACUCUGAGAUAAUGACAACAUCACUGCAUUACUCUGAGAUGACAUCACCGCAUUACUCUGAGAUGACAUCACUGCAUUACUCUGAGAUAAUGACAUCACUGCAUUACUCUGAGAUAAUGAUGACAUCACUGCAUUACUCUGAGAUAAUGACAUCACUGCAUUACUCUGAGAUAAUGAUGACAUCACUGCAUUACUCUGAGAUAAUGACAUCACUGCAUUACUCUGAGAUAAUGAUGACAUCACUGCAUUACUCUGAGAUAAUGAUGACAUCACUGCAUUACUCUGAGUUAAUGACAUCACUGCAUUACUCUGAGAUAAUGACAUCACUGCAUUACUCUGAGAUAAUGAUAUCACUGCAUUACUCUGAGAUGAUGACAUCAUUUCUUUACUCUGAGAUAAUGACAUCACUGCAUUACUCUGAGAUAAUGAUGACAUCACUGCAUUACUCUGAGAUGAUGACAUCAUUUCUUUACUCUGAGAUAAUGACAUCACUGCAUUACUCUGAGAUAAUGAUGACAUCACUGCAUUACUCUGAGAUAAUGACAUCACUGCAUUACUCUGAGAUGAUGACAUCACUUCUUUACUCUGAGAUAAUGACAUCACUGCAUUACUCUGAGAUAAUGAUGACAUCACUGCAUUACUCUGAGAUAAUGAUGACAUCACUGCAUUACUCUGAGAUAAUGAUGACAUCACCGCAUUACUCUGAGAUGACAUCACUGCAUUACUCUGAGAUAAUGAUGACAUCACUGCAUUACUCUGAGAUGACAGAGUCACUUCUUUACGCUGAGAUAAUGACAUCACUGCAUUACUCUGAGAUAAUGACAUCACUUCUUUACUCUGAGAUAAUGACAACAUCACUGCAUUACUCUGAGAUGACAUCACCGCAUUACUCUGAGAUGACAUCACUGCAUUACUCUGAGAUAAUGAUGACAUCACUGCAUUACUCUGAGAUAAUGAUGACAUCACUGCAUUACUCUGAGAUAAUGACAUCACUGCAUUACUCUGAGAUAAUGACAUCACUUCUUUACUCUGAGAUAAUGACAACAUCACUGCAUUACUCUGAGAUAAUGACAUCACUGCAUUACUCUGAGAUAAUGAUAUCACUGCAUUACUCUGAGAUAAUGAUGACAUCACUGCAUUACUCUGAGAUAAUGAUAUCACUGCAUUACUCUGAGAUAAUGACAUCACUGCAUUACUCUGAGAUAAUGACAUCACUGCAUUACUCUGAGAUAAUGACAACAUCACUGCAUUACUCUGAGAUAAUGAUAUCACUGCAUUACUCUGAGAUAAUGAUGACAUCACUGCAUUACUCUGAGAUAAUGAUAUCACUGCAUUACUCUGAGAUAAUGACAUCACUGCAUUACUCUGAGAUGAUGACAUCACUUCUUUACUCUGAGAUAAUGACAACAUCACUGCAUUACUCUGAGAUGACAUCACCGCAUUACUCUGAGAUGACAUCACUGCAUUACUCUGAGAUAAUGAUGACAUCACUGCAUUACUCUGAGAUAAUGAUGACAUCACUGCAUUACUCUGAGAUGACAGAGUCACUUCUUUACGCUGAGAUAAUGACAUCACUGCAUUACUCUGAGAUAAUGACAUCACUUCUUUACUCUGAGAUAAUGACAACAUCACUGCAUUACUCUGAGAUAAUGACAUCACUGCAUUACUCUGAGAUAAUGAUGACAUCACUGCAUUACUCUGAGAUAAUGACAACAUCACUGCAUUACUCUGAGAUAAUGACAUCACUGCAUUACUCUGAGAUAAUGAUAUCACUGCAUUACUCUGAGAUAAUGACAACAUCACUGCAUUAUUUUAUGAGUUAAUGAUGGUGACACCACUGCAUUACUCUCAGCUGAUGAUGAUAUCACUCCAUUACUCUGUGAGUUCAAAGUAAUGCAGUGAUGUCAUCAUAAGCUCUAAAUAAUGCAGUGAUGAGCUAAUGAUGACAUCACAUGCACUACGCUGCAAAAAUUACUAAUACCACCAUCUAAUGUCAGUGACUUGCAAAUAAGUAUAACUGAAUACUAGUGGCUAAUUUCCAUGCCCAAACUUCUGUUUUCAAUAGAAAAUGCAACAACAGAGGACAGAAAACUGCAUUCAUCAAGCCAUUUUUCAUGGAUUGUUUAACAUCUAGCAGCCCAAGUUCCAUAACCUUCAGGAGUUGAGACACAGCGCAUCUCUAGCCAAUAAGGUCUUCAUUCAGAGAGACUACACUGAUGGCACCAUCUGCAAGUUCCAGACCAAGUUCCCAUCAGAGUUAGACAGCAGGAUUGAGAGGACACUGUUUGAG